rnacentral:rRNA from 1 species
CCCUUAGAUGUUCUGGGCUGCACGCGUGCUACAAUGGCGCUUGCAACAAGUCUUGCCAACCCGAUAGGGUGAGCGGAUCUUUGAAGAGGCGUCGUGAUCGGGACAGUUGGUUGCAAUUAUUCGACUCGAACGAGGAAUUCCUUGUAAUCGCGAUUCAUCAUAUCGCGCUGAAUACGUCCCUGCCCUUUGUACACACCGCCCGUCGCUCCUACCGAUUGAGCGAUCCGGUGAAUGUUUUGGACUGGCGUCAGAAGCGGUUCGCUCCUGACACUACGAAAUUUUGUAAACCUUAUCGCUUAGAGGAAGGAAAAGUCGUAACA